GUCGGAGUGAAAGGCUAAUAAAGCUAAGAGAUAUCUGGUUCUCUCCGAAAUAUAUUUAGGUAUAGCCUCGGAUCAAUUCCGUGGCGGCCGUAGAGCACUGUUUGGUCUAGGGGCCCUACCAGGUUACCGAAAUCAGGCAAACUCCGAAGACCGUCACGGUUACUCCGGGAGUCAGUUGCUGGGGGAUAAACUUCAGCGUCAAGAGGGAAACAGCCCAGACCGACAGCUAAGGUCCCUAAGUUCUAGCUAAGUGGCAAACGAUGUCCGAGUGCAUAGACAACCAGGAGGUUGGCUUAGAGGCAGCCAUCCUUGAAAGAGUGCGUAACAGCUCACUGGUCAAGUGUUCGGGCGCGGAUAAUGUAACGGGGCUCAAGCUAGACACCGAAGCUUCGGGUUCGAUGUAAGUCGAGCGGUAGGAGAGCGUUCCCAUGGCAGUGAAGCGGCGGGGGAACCCAGCCGUGGAGCCCUGGGAAGUGAGAAUGCCGGCAUGAGUAACGAAAGAGGGGUGAGAAUCCCCUCCGCCGAUUGCCCAAGGAUUCCUGAGUAAAGUUCGUCUGCUCAGGGUUAGUCGGGACCUAAGGCGAGGCCGAAAGGCGUAGUCGAUGGACAACAGGUUGAUAUUCCUGUACCACGUCGCACUCAUUUGACUGAUGGGGGGACGAGGAAGGCUAUGGGAACCCAGGCGAUGGUCGUCCUGGGUCAAGCAUGUAGGGGUGGCUCAUGAUAAAUGCGGAGCCGCAUAACCUGAGGUGCGAUGACUGCUGGCUUCAAGCCGGCGAGUCCCGGACGCCAUGCCUCCGAGAAAAGCCUCUAGGGAGAGUGCACGUGCCCGUACCAAAACCGACACAGGUGGGCAAGUAGAGAAUACUAAGGUGAUCGAGCUAACCAUCGUUAAGGAACUCGGCAAAAUCGCUCCGUAACUUCGGGAUAAGGAGCGCCCCAGUAGGGUGAAGCACCUCGCGUGCGGAGCCCGAGAGGGCCGCAGUGAAUAGGUUCAACCGACUGUUUACCAAAAACACAGGUCUCUGCUAAGUCGUAAGACGACGUAUAGGGGCUGACGCCUGCCCGGUGCCGGAAGGUUAAGAGGAGAGGUGCAAGCCUUGAAUCGAAGCCCCGGUAAACGGCGGCCGUAACUAUAACGGUCCUAAGGUAGCGAAAUUCCUUGUCGGGUAAGUUCCGACC
rnacentral:rRNA from 1 species